rnacentral:rRNA from 1 species
CACGUAGGGGGCGAGCGUUGUCCGGAAUCAUUGGGCGUAAAGAGCUCGUAGGCGGCUCGGUAAGUCGGGUGUGAAACCCCCAGGCUCAACCUGGGGACGCCACCCGAUACUGCUGUGGCUAGAGUCCAGUAGGGGAGUGUGGAAUUCCCGGUGUAGCGGUGAAAUGCGCAGAUAUCGGGAGGAACACCAGCGGCGAAGGCGGCACUCUGGACCGGUAUUGACGCUGAGGCGCGAAAGCCAGGGGAGCAAACGGG